GACGGGGGGGGCAAGUGUUCUUCGGAAUGACUGGGCGUAAAGGGCACGUAGGCGUGAAUCGGGUUGAAAGUGAAAGUCGCCAAAAAGUGGCGGAAUGCUCUCGAAACCAAUUCACUUGAGUGAGACAGAGGAGAGUGGAAUUUCGUGUGUAGGGGUGAAAUCCGUAGAUCUACGAAGGAACGCCAAAAGCGAAGGCAGCUCUCUGGGUCCCUACCGACGCUGGGGUGCGAAAGCGUGGGGAGCAAACAGG
rnacentral:rRNA from 1 species